rnacentral:rRNA from 1 species
ACUUCAGGACGGGGGACAACAGUUGGAAACGACUGCUAAUACCCGAUGUGCCGAAAGGUGAAACCUAAUUGGCCUGAAGAAGAGCUUGCGUCUGAUUAGCUAGUUGGUGGGGUAAAGGCCUACCAAGGCGACGAUCAGUAGCUGGUCUGAGAGGAUGAGCAGCCACACUGGGACUGAGACACGGCCCAGACUCCUACGGGAGGCAGCAGUGGGGAAUUUUCCGCAAUGGGCGAAAGCCUGACGGAGCAACGCCGCGUGGGGGAGGAAGGUCUUUGGAUUGUAAACCUCUUUUCUCAAGGAAGAAGUUCUGACGGUACUUGAGGAAUCAGCCUCGGCUAACUCCGUGCCAGCAGCCGCGGUAAUACGGGGGAGGCAAGCGUUAUCCGGAAUUAUUGGGCGUAAAGCGUCCGCAGGUGGUCAGCCAAGUCUGCCGUCAAAUCAGGUUGCUUAACGACCUA